UGUGGGGUAGAGCAAUGGUAGCUUGCCAGUUUCAUAAGCUGGAGAUUGGAGGUUCGAGUCCUCCUCCCACAU
rnacentral:tRNA from 1 species